UACAGAGGGUGCAAGCGUUGUUCGGAAUUAUUGGGCGUAAAGAGCGUGUAGGCGGCCAAGCAGGUCCGCUGUGAAAACUCGAGGCUCAACCUCGAGACGUCGGUGGAAACCGUUUGGCUAGAGUCCGGAAGAGGAGAGUGGAAUUCCCGGUGUAGCGGUGAAAUGCGCAGAUAUCGGGAAGAACACCCGGUGGCGAAGGCGGCUCUCUGGGACGGUACUGACGCGUGAGACGGCGAAAGCGUGGGGAGCGAACAGG
rnacentral:rRNA from 1 species